ensembl:snRNA U6 U6 spliceosomal RNA
GUGCUUGUUUCAAUAGCACAUAUACUAAAACUGGAAUGAUUCAGAGAUUAGCAUGGCCCCUGAGCAAGGAGGACAUGCAAAUUCAUGAAGGAAAAAAAAAAAAA